GAUGAACGCUGGCGGCGUGCCUAAUACAUGCAAGUCGAGCGAACGGACGAGAAGCUUGCUGCUCUGAUGUUAGCGGCGGACGGGUGAGUAACACGUGGAUAACCUACCUAUAAGACUGGGAUAACUUCGGGAAACCGGAGCUAAUACCGGAGAAUAUUUUGAACCGCAUGGUUCAAAAGUGAAAUACGGUCUUGCUGUCACUUAUAGAUGGAUCCGCGCUGCAUUAGCUAGUUGGUAAGGUAACGGCUUACCAAGGCAACGAUGCAUAGCCGACCUGAGAGGGUGAUCGGCCACACUGGAACUGAGACACGCUCCAGACUCCUACGGGAGGCAGCAGUAGGGAAUCUUACGCAAUGGGCGAAAGCCUGACGGAGCAACGGCGCGUGAGUGAUGACGGUCUUCGGAUCGUAAAACUCUGUUAUUAGGGAAGAACAUAUGUGUAAGUAACUGUGCACAUCUUGACGGUACCUAGUCAGAAAGCCACGGCUAACUACGUG
rnacentral:rRNA from 1 species